rnacentral:rRNA from 1 species
GAUGAACGCUGGCGGCGUGCCUAAUACAUGCAAGUCGAGCGAACGGACGAGAAGCUUGCUUCUCUGAUGUUAGCGGCGGACGGGUGAGUAACUCGUGGAUAACCUACCUAUAAGAAUGGGAUACCUUCGGGAAACAGUAGCUAAUACCGGAUAAUAUUUUGCACCGCAUGGUUCCAACGUGAAAGACGGUCUUGGUGUCAGUAAUAGCUGGCCCCGGGCUGCAUUAGUUAGUUGGUAAGGUAACGGAUUACCAAGGCAACGAGGCAUAGCCGACCUGAGAGCGUGAUCGGCCACACGGUAACUGAGACACGGUCCAGACUCCUACGGGAGGCAGCAGUAGGGAAUCUUCCGCAAUGGGCGAAAGCCUGACGGUGCACCGCCGCGUGAGUGAUGAAGGUCUUCGGAUCGUAAAACUCUGUUAUUAGGAAAGAACAUAUGUGUAAGUAACUGUGCACAUCUUGACGGUACCGAAUCAGAAAGCCACGGCUAACUACGUG